ensembl:rRNA 5S_rRNA 5S ribosomal RNA
AUCUAUGGCCAUGCUACUCUGAACAAGCCCGAUCCUAUCUGAUCUCGGAAGCUAAGCAGGGUCGGGCUUGGUUACUAUUUGGAUGUGAGACCACUUAGGAAGACCAGGGGCUGUAGGCA